rnacentral:rRNA from 1 species
CAGAGGAGCCAAGCGUUGUCCGGAUUGACUGGGCGUAAAGCGCACGCAGGCGGCCGUGCACGUGGGGUGUGAAAGCUGGCGGCUUAACUGCCAGACGCCACCUCAUACGGCACGGCUCGAGCCCGUGAGAGGUCCACGGAAUUGCCGGUGUAGUGGUGAAAUGCGUAGAGAUCGGCAGGAACACCCAGGGGGAAACCAGUGGACUGGCACGGUGCUGACGCUCAGGUGCGAAAGCGUGGGGAGCGAACCGGAUUAGAUACCCGGGUAGUCCACGCCGUAAACGAUGAAUACUCGGCAUCUGGUUCUCGAUUUUCGGGAGCCGGGUGCCCCAGCUAACGCGGUAAGUAUUCCGCCUGGGAACUACGAGCGCAAGCUUA